GUUCUUUUAGUAUUACUUAGUACAACUGACUUCCAAUCAGUUAGACUUGGGUCAGCCAAGAAAGAAUA
rnacentral:tRNA from 1 species